rnacentral:rRNA from 1 species
AACAGCUCAAAUUUGAAAUCUGGGUCCUGGCGACCCCGAGUUGUAAUUUGCAGAGGAUGUUUCGGGUGAGGUACCGUUCUAAGUUCCUUGGAACAGGGCGUCAUAGAGGGUGAGAAUCCCGUCUGCGACCGGUGUCCGAUCCUAUGUGAAACUCCUUCGAC